AUCAGAUGAACUCCAACUAAAAACCGCCACCGUCCUGUGGUGAACGUUGAAGCCAGCACAUCCAGUGCA
rnacentral:sRNA from 1 species